rnacentral:lncRNA from 1 species
GGCUUCUUGAUCCUAUGUGUUGUAUUGAGUGUUGGUCACUGGUCUUUGGGAAGCUUGGACAGAAGUGGGGCAGCCAUGGAGCUGCUGACUGGGACUGGCCUGUGGCCCGUGGUCAUAGUCACAGUCAUCUUCAUAUUACUGGUGGACAUGUUGCACCGGUGCCAGCGCUGGACUUCUUGCUGCCCACCAGACCCUGUGCCAUGGCCUGUGCUGGGUAACCUGCUGCAGGUGGACCUGGAUAACAUGCCAUAUAACUUGUACAAGCUUCACAACCGCUAUGGUGACGUGUUCAGCCUGCAGAUGGGCUGGAACCACAUGGCCGUGAUCAACGGACUGAAGGUGAUACAGGAAGUGUUGGUGACCUGUGGAGAGGACACUGCUGACCGCCCUGAAAUGCCCAUCUUUCCACACCUAGGCUAUGGGCAAAAAGCUAAAGGUGUGGUCCUUGCUCCUUAUGGGCCUGAGUGGAAAGAGCAGAGGUGAUUCUCUGCGUCGACCCUGUGCAACUUCAGCCUGGGCAAGAAAUCACUGGAGCAGUGGGUGAUGGAAGAGGUUGGACACCUCUUUGAUGUCUUCACUGCCCAUGCUGAGGAGGCUGUAGACAAGAGAUUUGGAAAGAACACAUCUAGAAGUGUCCACCACAGUAAUAGGAGCCUGGAGAUUGACAUACAGCAAAAGGAAGUGAGAAGCUGACCAAGGUCAGGGCUUCUAGAAGCUGAGACCCUGGCCCUCUGCCCACAUGGAACAUCUGUGAGAUUUUCCAGGUUCUGAACACAUUCCCAAUUCUCCUACGCAUCCCAGGGUUGGCUGACAAAGUCUUCCCUGGGCAAAAGACAUUUCUCAUAAUGGUGGAUAAGCUGGUGACUGAGCACAAGAGGACCUGGAACUCGGACCAGCCGCCUCGAGACCUGACUGAUGCCUUUAUGGCUGAGAUGGAGAAGGCAAAGGGAAACCCUGAGAGUAGCUUCAAUGAUGCAAAUCUAUGUCUGGUUGUCCUUGACCUGCUGGGUGCUGCAACUGUGACCACCUCAACCACACUGUCCUGGGCCCUGCUGCUUAUGAUCCUGCAUCCGGAUGUGCAGUGUGAGCCUGGCUGGGGCUGUCAAGAAAGGAGGAGGAGGGUAGAGGCAAACUCCUUAAACUUACUUGGGACACUUGUAGAUCCCAGCAUUGAGUUAACCCAGACUGCAGUAAGUAUGGUUGCCUUAUUUCUCCCAUGGACCCAGCCCUUAACAGAGAGGUAGUGGAUGGACAAGGGGCACCCACUGAAGCAUCUUAACUGAUGGGAAAAUGUCCUUCCAGGCCAAGUACAACAGGAAAUCGAUGAGGUCAUUUGGUAUGUGUGGCUUCCAGAGAUGGCAGACCAGGUCUGCAUGCCCUUCACCAAUGCUGUCAUUCAUGAGGGCAUGACUCUCAUCUCCAACCUGUUCCGUGCUGAAGGAUGAGACUGUCUGGGAGAAGCCCCUUCGCUUCCAUCCUGAACACUUCCUGGAUGCCCAGGGCCACUUUGUGAAGCCUGAGGCCUUCAUGCCAUUCUCAGCAGGCCACAGAUCAUGCCUGGGGGAGCCCCUGGCCCUCAUGGAGCUCUUCCUCUUCUUCACCUGCCUCCUGCAGCGCUUUAGCUUCUCAAUGCCAGCUGGACAAUCCCUUCCCAGUGAUUAUGGCAUCUAUACAAUGCCAGUUACUCCAGCACCUACCAGCUCUGUGCAGUGGUUUGCUAGCAGGGGCAGUGGCUCCAGCCAUCAUCACAGAUUGUUCUGACUGAUGUCCAAUAAACAAGUUUUGUGUCUGAAUC